AGAGUUUGAUCAUGGCUCAGGAACAACGCUGGCGGCGUGCCUAAUGCAUGCAAGUCGUACGGGAGCCGCUUUGGCGGUCGACCGUGGCGGACGGGUGAGUAACACGUGGGUAACCUGCCCCGGCGCGGGGGAUAACCGCGGGAAACCGUGGCUAAUACCCCAUGGGCUCGGUUGGGGGGUGGCCUGAUCGAGCAAAGGCGGAAGCCGUGCCGGGAGGGGCCUGCGGCCUAUCAGCUAGACGGUGGGGUAAUGGCCUACCGUGGCGAUGACGGGUAGCUGGUCUGAGAGGACGAUCAGCCACACGGGGACUGAGACACGGCCCCGACUCCUACGGGAGGCAGCAGCAAGGAAUUUUCCGCAAUGGGCGCAAGCCUGACGGAGCGACGCCGCGUGGAUGAUUACGCCCUUCGGGGUGUAAACUCCUUUUCGGGGGGAUGAAGGCAGUGACGGUACCCCCGGAAGAAGCACCGGCUAACUACGUGCCAGCAGCCGCGGUAAGACGUAGGGUGCGAGCGUUGUCCGGAGUUACUGGGCGUAAAGGGCGCGUAGGCGGCUGCCCGCGUCGCACGUGAAAGCCCCCGGCUCAACCGGGGAGAGUCGUGCGAGACGGGGUGGCUAGAGGCAGGGAGAGGCUGGUGGAAUUCCCGGUGUAGCGGUGAAAUGCGUAGAGAUCGGGAGGAACACCGGUGGCGAAGGCGGCCAGCUGGCCCUGACCUGACGCUGAGGCGCGAAGGCGCGGGGAGCGAACGGGAUUAGAUACCCCGGUAGUCCGCGCAGUAAACGCUGUGGACUAGGUGUGGGAGGUGUUGACCCCUUUCUGUGCCGGCGCUAACGCAGUAAGUCCACCGCCUGUGAGUACUGCUCUCAGGCUUAAUCUCAAGGAAUUCGAC
rnacentral:rRNA from 1 species